ensembl:lncRNA
AAAGAGGCUGAGAUUAACAGCAUGACUGGGAACAGGUCUAGGCUUGGUGAAACAUAUGAGAUACUGCUGUUGCUUUCCCCAUCUUCCAGAUAAGUAUAGCACAAGGCUUUCCGAGAAAAGACUUCCCUUCAAGGAGCCAGCCUGCCAGCCCUCAGUACGCGUCUUCAAGCACCUGCAGACUGAGUUCGUGGAUGUGCCAUGCACAGCACAGAAACAGAUUAAAUUAUGGCAGAAAGAUUCUUCACAGUGCCAUUUCUGCCAGCAUCAGAGCUGAACAUACCAUGGAAGAUGAGAAACAAGGGUAAGAAGUUUCAGAGGACGGCAGAAGAGGCACGCUGUCAGAAAGAGAUCUUGGAGAAGUCAUCUGGGUCUUCUGACCUGCUCCCUGCCAGUACCACCAAUUUUGUGUUAAUACAAAUGUCAAUACCUGAC